UACGGAGGUGGCAAGCGUUGUUCGGAUUUACUGGGCGUAAAGGGCGCGUAGGCGGUCAGCACAAGUCAGUUGUGAAAUCUCCGGGCUUAACUCGGAAAGGUCAACUGAUACUGUGCGACUAGAGUGCGGAAGGGGCAACUGGAAUUCUCGGUGUAGCGGUGAAAUGCGUAGAUAUCGAGAGGAACACCUGCGGCGAAGGCGGGUUGCUGGGCCGACACUGACGCUGAUGCGCGAAAGCCAAGGGAGCGAACGGG
rnacentral:rRNA from 1 species